AAGAGAUUAACUCAAUGGUAGAGUAGCUGUUUUACACACAGUAAGUUAAGGGUUCGAAUCUCUUAUCUCUUA
rnacentral:tRNA from 1 species